rnacentral:rRNA from 1 species
AUGAGUAAGGAGGAGGUCCUCAAGAUACAGACUUGCGUGCUCAAAGUGAACAUCCACUGUGAUGGCUGCCAGAAGAAGGUCAAGAAGAUCCUGCACAAGAUCGAAGGGGUGUACCAAUCCAGCAUAGACCCGGAGCAGGGGAAGGUGACGGUGUCUGGCAUGGUGGAUCCGGACACCAUCAUCAAGAAGCUGACCAAGGCUGGCAAGCCAGCCGAACUCUGGGGGUCCAAGGCUGGAAUGGCUAACCAGUUUCAGAAGCUCCAACUUGACGGCGGUGCUAAGGGCCAGGCCAAGGACGCCGGUGGCAAGGGCCAGUCCAAGGACGCCGGCGGUGCCAAGGGUCAGAAAGGUGGCGGCGGCGGCGGCGGCGGCGGCGGAGGUGCUAGCAAGGACGCAAAGAUGAUGAUGCCGCAGCCGACGGCGCAGCAGCUUCAGCAGCUGCAACAGCAGAUGCAGAUGAAGGGAAUGAAGCUGCCGCAGUUCAUGGACGGGAAGAUGCCGUUCGCGGCGGCCGCGCCGAUGAAGGACCCCAAGUCCGUCAAGUUCAACCUCCCACCAGAGGAUGAGUUCGGGGACGACGGCAGCGAGUUCGACGACGAGUUCGACGACUUCGACGACGAGGAUGAUUUCGACGAUGACGGCCUCGACGACGACUACUUCGACGACCCCAAGAUGAUGAUGAAGCCGAUGGCCAUGCCACCGAACGCCGGUGGAGGAGACAAGAAGGGCGGCAACAAUGGUGGCAAGAAGGGUGGCAACGAGAUCCCGGUGCAGAUCAAGGGGAAUCCCAACAACGGCGGUGGCGGUGGCGGUGGCAAGAAAGACGCAGGUGGCAAGCAGAACCAAGGUGGCGGGGGCGGUAACGGCAACGGCGGUGGCAAGAAUGGAGGCGGUGGCCAGGCGAACAACGCCAAAGGAGGAGGAGGAGGCGCCCCGGGCGGCGGGGGCCAGGCGGGCCAACCUGGGAAGAAGGGCGGCGGCGGUGGCCCCGGCCUCGGUGUCGGUGGACCGAUGGGCGGCAUCGGCAUGCCGCCGCAGCAGCAGGCCAUGAUGAGGCCUAACAUGAUGGGCGCUCCCGGCUUUCCUGGUAUGGGCCCGAUGGGAGGGCCCAUGGGCCACCACCCCCACAUGGGAGGCGCGCAGGGCGGUGGCGGAGCCGCUCAUGGCAUGCCGGCCGGCGGCAUGCCUCCACCUGGGUUCUUCCAGGGAGGCGCGGGCGGCGGCGGCGGCGGCGGCAUGCCGUCCGGCCCCGCCGAGAUGAUGCAGGCUGCCGGGAACCCCAUGGCGCAGCAGCAGUACAUGGCCAUGAUGCAGCACCAGCAACAAAUGAUGAUGCAGCAGCAGCAGCAACAGCAGCAGGCGAUGAUGAACGGGCACGGGCACGCCCACGCCCACCCCCACCACGGCGGUGGCGGCGCUCCGGCGGGGUACCCGGCGAUGCCGAUGGGGUACGGGUACGGGCGGCCGCCCAUGCCGUACCCAAUGGCGUACCCGAUGCCGAUGCAGCCGCACCCGCACGCGGACCCUUACAACUACUUCAGCGACGAGAACCCCAACAGCUGCUCGGUGAUGUGA